rnacentral:lncRNA from 1 species
GCGCGUGAUGGGCUACGCCCCCAGCGUAGUGAAAAUCAUAUUUUCCUGCUUAAAAUCCUGCUUUUUUUGCAGAACAAGUAACCCUGCUUCUGAGUAGAUUUCUCUUGAAUUUAUUGCUUAAAACCUACUAAAAUGCAUUUAAUGUUACUAAAAUAGGCAUGGAUUAGAGUGUGACUAUCCGUCAUCAACAUAGCAUAUAGGUAUCUCUAUAAAUACUUCAAUGUCAUGAAAUUUCUCAAUAAGACAUCUCCUCAAUUUACUUUCAACUAGUUUACAUGCCUCAGUGACAACAAAUAUUCCUGCAACACUUCACUUGAAUAACAAUAAUGAACAAUAUAAAUAUUGAACCGUUUAAUUAACACAAUAAAAUGUUAACCACCGAGUUCAAAAAUAAAAGUUUAGAGAUAUACAACAACUUCACAUCAAUAAUUAUUUAAUAUAUAUAUGAGGGACUCUAACAAAAUACCACACAUCACACAUAUUUGCUUUGGUUAUUAAAGUUAAACGAAAAUUAACAUCACUAUAUGCAUAAUCUAAAUUCAUAAAUCUAUUUUCCUUCAUUGAUGCUAACUGGUAUAUAUCUUCUCAAUUUAAUUAUUGUUCUCAAUAUGCACAUAUUACAUGUAUACCAAAUUUUAAGCAUCGCAACACAUGUCAUUGAAUCACGCUUGUAAAACAUUAUUCUAAACACAUGAUAAGCAUCAUAUACAUGAACAAUACCACUUUUAUAGUCAUUAAUUUUAAAGUCUAAUUCAUCAAAAUAUGAUAUGAACAUACAUGUGCUUCUCACAAUAUAAAAAUUAUAUACUCACAGUUUCAAAAGCAAAGUAACCCAAGGUUUCUUUGUUGUCUUUACAUUAUCGUUGAAUGUCAAUCGCCAUGCCAUUUAAUUUCCUAGUCUUUUACCAGAAAUGAAUCACGGCAACUCUUUGGGAAUUAGGUCGCAAACAAAAUUGAGAAAUUCAUUUGAUAAAUCAUCAAAUCCUUAAGAUUGUUGUAAAAAAUUGGACCUAUUCACAAUAAUAAAUCACAUAUAAAUUUAAAUAACUCAACAAAAAUUAUAGAGAAUAAAUUGAAAUAAAAUUCAUAUAAACUUGUCUUGUUAUUGCGGUGAUUGAUGUCGGCAAUUGUAAAGUAAUUUCAUCGCGAUUGCACAAACCAUGAACGACCUGCAAAAUACUCAACCGUAAUAUAAUCCCCUGAGGCGUGCUGAUCGCACUGUCCAUAAGGAUUUAUCCGCCUCAUUAAGCGCAAAUCCCCCAGGAUUCAACAUGUCCUUCUCGGAUAUGAAUCAUAUCCGAAGUGACAGAACUGACAAGAAUUAAUAGACACCGGUGAUGUAAUCCAGGAAGAUAGCACCUCAAUUUAUAAGGAAAGAUAAUAUUGGUUUAUGUUGAAAACUCUAUGUGCCCAAGAUCAAUCAUGUAUAUGUACUCUUUUUUUCUUAAUCCACGUACAAAUAUAUAUACAUGAGAGAAAACUUUUUUUUUUCAUUGUAACCAUCAUGUAGCUAUUAACUAGGAGUAAGUGGGUAUUAACAACUUAUUAAUAACGAAAAAACACAUGUUUAUUGACCAAAUAAAACGUUAGCAACUUAAUAAGGAGCAUUGCUAUAUAACGCGAAUGAACUUCUCGCGAAUUUUCACGGAGGAAAUAUUUUCUUUUUUCGUUUUUACUGUACUCUUAUAUAUUACUAGUAACUACAUCAAUCUAUGCAAAUACCCAUCA